rnacentral:rRNA from 1 species
UGGGGGAUAUUGUACAAUGGGCGAAAGCCUGAUGCAGCGACGCCGCGUGGGGGAUGAAGGCCUUCGGGUUGUAAACUUCUUUUGCUCUGAACAAGGCGCACCAUGGGGUGUGUUGAGUGUAGGGGUUGAUUAGCGCCGGCUAACUACGUGCCAGCAGCCGCGGUAAUACGUAGGGCGCGAGCGUUGUCCGGAAUUAUUGGGCGUAAAGGGCUUGUAGGUGGCUGGUUGCGUCUGUCGUGAAAGCUCAUGGCUUAACUGUGGGUUUGCGGUGGGUACGGGCUGGCUUGAGUGCAGUAGGGGAGGCUGGAAUUCCUGGUGUAGCGGUGGAAUGCGCAGAUAUCAGGAGGAGUACCGGUGGCGAAGGCGGGUCUCUGGGCUGUUACUGACACUGAGGAGCGAAAGCAUGGGGAGCGAACAGG